rnacentral:rRNA from 1 species
UACAGAGGGGGCAAGCGUUAUUCGGAAUUAUUGGGCGUAAAGGGCGCGUAGGCGGCCUUGCAAGUAGCGGGUGAAAUCCCUCGGCUUAACCGAGGAACUGCCUGCCAGACUGCAAGGCUCGAGACCGGGAGAGGUGAGUGGAAUUCCCAGUGUAGCGGUGAAAUGCGUAGAUAUUGGGAGGAACACCAGUGGCGAAGGCGGCUCACUGGACCGGAACUGACGCUGAGGCGCGAAAGCGUGGGGAGCAAACAGG